ACCUUUCCCUUUCCUUUCUCCUUUCCCGAAGCUUCCCAGCCAGGGAAUCUCGGGAACACGCUGGGCCCAGCUGCCACCACGGGCAAGGCUGGGGUUGUUGGUCCUCCCCUGGUGCUGUGGGGAACAAUUCCCCCGUUUGGGAUGGGAUGAAACCCCCCAGGGCUGUCACUGGGAGCCACGGCCAGCGGGAGUGUGCGGUUCCAGCGGUGCCACCAUCGGUGACCCCGUCGGUGACACCGUGGGAGCGCGGCGGCGCCGGCCCUGACAGCUUUAAUGCCGAUAUUUAUCUCAGCUCCGAACCUCCGAGCGCGGUUCCAUAUUCAGGAGCUCAAUCACCGGGAUCGGGAAUGGCCGUGACGGCUCCGCCGAUGGCAGCUGGGCCCGGGCUCAAUCAACAUCGGCUGAACGGCCCCGGAGAGCUCCGGGGUAAAUGACAGAAAAUCCCAGGACAGCCAUCAGCCUCCGAGGGAGAUGCUGAGAUAUUACAGGAUGGGGUGACAGAGCGGGAUGAGAUGGGAUGCACGAGGAGAGAGGCGCGGAGAUAAAUGGGGACCCCCGGAGCUGUUAUUUCAGCCUGAUUGCGGAUCCGGAAGCGGAGCCGAGCCCGAUCCCGCAGGCUGUGGGGAGGCUUUAAUGCACAGAAGAAAA